GGUCACAGGUGUGUUGCGUACGUGAGCGUGUGGGAUUUGGUCUGGGGUCCGGGACAGGCUUGCUCUCUCUUGGUUCCGGUCGGGUCACAGAGAGCAGCUGGGCAUGGAUCCUCGGAGCUGAAACUGGUGGGUCAUCCAUUUCUCCUGCCACUGUGAUGGAGGCUGCUCUGCCUCUGAAGCCGUGAGCUAAAGCAUGGCUUUCCCCUCAAGGGGUUCCUGUCAGGUGCUUUCAUCACAAGAGGCCUGUGCAAUCCCACCCUGGCUCAGUCUUGUCAUCCGCGUUGCGGACCUAGCGACAGAACUCGAGGGAAACACCGUGAGGACUCUGUGGUGGAAGAGGACCCUCCCAUUUCUGAUCCGGAGACUGGAAACUGGGCUCUGACGGACCUGGAUAAACAGGCCCUCCCUCUGGUAACCACGUCACGUCUUCACCGCCUUUGUGCCCCUCUCCUCAUGCGCCCUUGCUUUUGGUCAGCUCUUCUGAGGUCGCUGUCCUGUGGAGGUUCCCGUGUCCCUGCCAAGGUGAUGAGGCUUCUAUGCUUUGCUUUUGUUUGACUUGGAUUCCGGGUCCUGGCUAAGAGCCACCAGAGAGCUGUGCAGAGGGGGGGGGAAUCUCUUGCCCCUCCCAGCCACAGACCCAAUGGUUCCGCUGAUGCUGACUCCUCAUCUUUUCAGAUGUAGGAAGGUGAUCGGCUUUCACACACACACACAUCUCGAUGCCUGUUUCCUGUGGCUGCCUUAUAAAAUAUACAAGCUGGAGGCUGGACCUGGGACACUGCAGGUAUCACAGUAAUGGACUAGCGUAUGAGAGUUCUAAAGGAGGUGCUAGGGUGUGUGCUCUGCAUUGCCGUGUUCACACGGACACACACACACACGGACACACACACAUGGACACACACACAGAUGCACACACAGAGACAGACAGACACACAUAUAUAGACGCACAGACACACAUAUAUAGAUACACACACACAGACACUUACACUGUACACACACACAGACAUACAUAGACACACAUGGACACACAGAAAUCCAGCAGAAUCCACGAGAAGCUAUUAGAAUGAACACAUGAUUUCAGUGACUAAGAAACCGACAGAUCACGGCGCUGACCUGUCCCCCACCCCUGCCUCCACGCCCUUUAAACCAUCUCUCUCGUGGCCCCUGUUCUAUUUUCAGUGUGUGUUUUACUGUCACACUUCCAGAUGCCUCCUCCCCUCAGUCCUCUCAUGGCGAUUUUCUUCCUCUCUGGGCUCUACUCACAUCCGCUCCAACUUAAACACAACUGUCUAAAAAUUUGAGUCUAGGGCUCUCAUAAGAGAGAGAAAACACACAGAGUUUGUCUUUCUGGGCCUGGCUCACUUUGCUCAAUAUAAUAUCUUCCAGUUUUACUCACUUUUCUGUGGGGCAGGGGAGAGGGUUGACCAAGGCUGUGAAGACGCCUCCUACUUCAUCUGCCGGCUGAAACACGCGCUAUUAAUAAAAAGGAGAUCAGGUAGACAUCCUCUUCACGGGUGGUUAAAGCGGCUGUAAGAAGCCAUUGAUUUUCAUACUAAAACCCCAGGGCCGGGUGUGGAAUGCCUUCCUACAAGGACCUCUCAACAGAAUACAGGCCAUCGUUAUCGCUUGGAUGCUACUAAGCUGAGCUCGCCACACACUGCGAAUGCAGGACAGAGACACCUCAUUAGACCGGAACGCAAGGCUUCCUCCUUAUUGGCUUCUUCAUGGUCUUGGAGGAUGCUACCGACGCUGUCAGGGGAGAAACAUCCUCAGUGACUGCAACAGCUAUAGACUCUGGGUGCCACAACACCGGGCUUCCUGGCAAUAUGGACUACGGGUAACCUGUGGGUAACCAAGUGCUUCCUGACGGGAUGUGAAGCCUGUUCCGUGGGACAGAGUGCACGCAUGGCACUAUAGAACUGGACAACGGCCCAUGGCUAGGGAGGUCACUUGCCUUCUGGGGAAAACCGCCACUGAUAUUUUACCAAAUAGACAGAUAGUUAAACUGCUUUCUAAAUAGUCCCAUAUUUUAGUAUUUCUCUUUUCCCCAGUGGGCAAUGGUCAAAGCCGGGAUGGAUGAUGGGGAAGUCCUGUGUAUAUGUCAAUAAAGCACUGUUGGCCAAUAGGGAAGCAAGAUAGGUGGGACUAGGAGUCCAGGAGGAUUCUGGGU